CCCCGAAUGUCCACGGAAAGAUGAUGAAUGCAGGGUGGAUCCUGAUCUGCUUCUGCAGGUGUACAGACCUGCCGUGUAGUCCUCGGUGACGUCUCUGCUCCUGCCGAGAGACCAGAGAGGUUCCAUAGACCCAUCUCAACCCAAGCAAUGAAAUCAAACUCAUGAGACAGUGGCACCCACACCAGUCAUCUUUGUUUCCCCAAAGCCUAGGUCAAUGCCAGGCAUCUGGUGAGUGCUCUACAGAUGACUGAGAGAGUGAGGAAACAGAGCCCUAGUUGAGCUUACUACUUCAUCCUCCAAACCGGCAGACUGCCUCUUGCUCAGUGCAACCAUGGAUCAGUCAGAAGCCUUACCAUCUAUACAGGGAUAAAUGCUCAGGGCGAUUCCCUGUGCCGGGAACACAUCCGAUUGCACUGGCGUGGUCAUGUGACCGGAGUACUAUCCACUCAGCUGCCUUCUGCUCUGUGUCGGCCUCCUGUGAGGUUCUACUCCCUCUCGUUGGGAGCCCUAUGUUACGGAAGUGUGCUGCGAGAACAAGGAGGGCUCUGAAUCAAGCAGCAUAAAAACGUAAGAAAUAAAGGGGCCUUUCAUUUAUGUAUAUGUGUACGA
rnacentral:lncRNA from 1 species